rnacentral:rRNA from 1 species
CAAUAGCGUAUAUUAAAGCUGUUGCGGUUAAAAAGCUCGUAGUUGGAUUUCUGUCAAGUACGACUGGUCCGCCCUCCGGGUGAGCACAUAGUUUGGUCUUGGCAUCUUGCUGGAAGUUGUUGCUGCACUUGGCUGUGUGGCGCAGUGUCCAGCACUUUCACUUUGAGGAAAUUGGAGUGUUUCAAGCAGGCAAUGCCUUUGAACACAGUAGCAUGGAAUAAUUAGAUUGGGCUUUUGCUCCAAUUUGUCGGUUUCUGGAGCUGAGGUGAGAAUUAAUGGGGAUUGUUGGGGGCAUCCGAAUUUAGCCGUCAGAGGUGAAAUUCUUGGAUCGGUCAAAGGCGAACUACUGCGAACGCAUUCGCCAAGAAUGUUUUCUUUAA